GGGUCAGUAGGUUGGUCGUGCCACCGGUACGUACUGGUCUCACUGAUUCCUCCUUCCUGAAGAACCGUAAUGCCAUUAAUUUAGUGUUGCGGGGAAACAGGACUGUUACUUUGAAAAAAUUAGAGUGUUUAAAGCAAGCUAACGCUUGAAUACAUUAGCAUGGAAUAAUGAAAUAGGACGACCGAUCCUAUUUUGUUGGUUUCUAGGAUUGACGUA
rnacentral:rRNA from 1 species